rnacentral:lncRNA from 1 species
CAGAGAUACUAUUUCCUGCUGUCUCUGGGCUGGCUCCAUUACUGCUGAGCCCAUGUGGGUGGCAUCUGUUACCCCUUCUCUAAGAGCAUUCGGGGAGGACAAUGAGCUUGGCAAGCCCUGUACCACUCGGCACCCCGCCCGCCCUGUGGUUCUCAUGCAUCUUGGAGAUGAGACCUUGCAGAAGGGAACGGCCCUGUCUUCCAGACCCUAAAUGCUGGCAUCCACUGCAAAGUGUGCUGUUGGGUGUGGGGCUGAAUGCUGUUUCCCUCCCUGGGGCAACAAACAACUCCAGCCCAAUAGAGACAACUGCAGGCCUCUGCCACGCCCAGCUCACCCCCAUCUUCCUGGCCAGGACUUCAGCUCGGCCACUGUCUGGGUCCAGCCUCACCCUCUCAGGCUGGCAAGGAAAGGAGACCUGAAAUGAGAAGUUAUGUCACCCACCCGGACCCCUGUCUGAGAAACUCAGUUCCGGUCCAUGAACAAGCGUGCUGGGAUUACAGCCCCACACAUUCCCACUAGCGCCCACCUGUGGUGCACCCGGACAAAUACUGGGACCCCGCAGGAAGAAGUACUGGUUAAGACUUGCCCAAGUAUGCACGCGAAACGGUAUGUAAGUUAUACCUCAGUAAUAACCAAAUUCCUAGAGUGCACAGCUGUUGCAGCAAUUUAGGAGACUGAGGCAGAAGGAUUGAAAGUUUGAGGCCAGCUUUAGCAAUUUAGGGAGACCCUGUCUCAAAGCAGGAGGAUUAAAAGUUACAGCCCAGCUAGGGCAACUUCGCAAGACCCUGUCUCAAAAUAGGAAAUAAAAAGGGCUGAGGGUGUAGCUCAGCACUGCUUGAGUUCAAUCCCCAUUACUACCACAGCC